rnacentral:rRNA from 1 species
GACGGAGGGUGCUAGCGUUGUUCGGAAUUACUGGGCGUAAAGGGCGCGUAGGCGGCCUGUUAAGUCGGUUGUGAAAGCCCGGGGCUCAACCCCGGAACGGCAGCCGAGACUGGCGGGCUCGAGACCGGGAGAGGUGGGUGGAAUACCCAAUGUAGAGGUGAAAUUCGUAGAUAUUGGGUGGAACACCGGUGGCGAAGGCGGCGUCCUGGACCAACACUGACACUGAUGAGCGAAAGCCAGGGGAGCAAACGGG